GGAUAACCUACCCUUAGGACCGGGAUAACCCUGGGAAACUGGGGAUAAUACUGGAUAGGCAAUUUUUCCUGUAAUGGUUUUUUGUUUAAAUGUUUUUUCGCCUAAGGAUGGGUCUGCGGCCGAUUAGGUAGUUGGUUAGGUAAUGGCUUACCAAGCCGUUGAUCGGUACGGGUUGUGAGAGCAAGAGCCCGGAGAUGGAACCUGAGACAAGGUUCCAGGCCCUACGGGGUGCAGCAGGCGCGAAACCUCCGCAAUGUGAGAAAUCGCGACGGGGGGAUCCCAAGUGCCAUUCUUAACGGGAUGGCUUUUCAUUAGUGUAAAGAGCUUUUGGAAUAAGGGCUGGGCAAGACCGGUGCCAGCCGCCGCGGUAACACCGGCAGCUCUAGUGGUAGCAGUUUUUAUUGGGCCUAAAGCGUCCGUAGCCGGUUUAAUAAGUCUCUGGUGAAAUCCUGUAGCUUAACUGUGGGAAUUGCUGGAGAUACUAUUAGACUUGAGACCGGGAGAGGUUAGAGGUACUCCCAGGGUAGAGGUGAAAUUCUGUAAUCCUGGGAGGACCGCCUGUUGCGAAGGCGUCUAACUGGAACGGUUCUGACGGUGAGGGACGAAAGUUAGGGGCGCGAACCGGAUUAGAUACCCGGGUAGUCCUAACUGUAAACGAUGCGGACUUGGUGUUGGGGGUGGCUUUGAGCUGCUCCAGUG
rnacentral:rRNA from 1 species